GACGUACGCUGGCGGCGUGCUUAACACAUGCAAGUCGAACGGUGAAGCGCUUGCCUUUUUGGUGGGUGUGGAUGAGUGGCGAACGGGUGAGUAACACGUGAGUAACCUGCCCUCUUCUUCUGGAUAACCUCAUGAAAGUGGGGCUAAUACGGGGUAUUCCGGGUCUGUCGCAUGGCGGGUUUGGGAAAGAUUGCGCCUUUGGGUGUUUUCGGUGGGGGAUGGGCUCGCGGCCUAUCAGCUCGUUGGUGGGGUGAUGGCCUACCAAGGCGGUGACGGGUAGCCGGCCUGAGAGGGUGGACGGCCAGACUGGGACGGAGACACGGCCCAGACUCCUGCGGGAGGCAGCAGUGGGGAAUAUUGCACAAUGGGCGCAAGCCUGAUGCAGCGACGCCGCGUGAGGGAUGGAGGCCUUCGGGUUGUGAACCUCUUUCGCCAGUGAAGCAGGCCUGCUCCUGUGUGGGUGGGUUGACGGUAGCUGGAGAAGAAGCGCCGGCUAACUACGUG
rnacentral:rRNA from 1 species